GAUGAACGCUGGCGGCGUGCCUAAUACAUGCAAGUCGAGCGAACAGACGAGGAGCUUGCUCCUCUGACGUUAGCGGCGGACGGGUGAGUAACACGUGGAUAACCUACCUAUAAGACUGGGAUAACUUCGGGAAACCGGAGCUAAUACCGGAUAAUAUAUUGAACCGCAUGGUUCAAUAGUGAAAGACGGUUUUGCUGUCACUUAUAGAUGGAUCCGCGCCGCAUUAGCUAGUUGGUAAGGUGACGGCUUACCAAGGCAACGAUGCGUAGCCGACCUGAGAGGGUGAUCGGCCACACUGGAACUGAGACACGGUCCAGACUCCUACGGGAGGCAGCAGUAGGGAAUCUUCCGCAAUGGGCGAAAGCCUGACGGAGCAACGCCGCGUGAGUGAUGAAGGUCUUCGGAUCGUAAAACUCUGUUAUUAGGGAAGAACAAAUGUGUAAGUAACUAUGCAUGUCUUGACGGUACCUAAUCAGAAAGCCACGGCUAACUACGUG
rnacentral:rRNA from 1 species